UAUUUCUCUGUUUAGGCCAACGGUAUCAAGUUAGGACCACAACAUUCACCAUCAAACCCCUCGAUGCCCAUGGGAGGUGGUCGAUCGAAUGACGGAGGGGGGUGUUGUUAAUUCACAUUCUCUUUUUGAACUGUGGGUAGAUUUCCACCAUAUCUCAAAAAAACAAUAUACAUAAAUUCUACAUACACAAUUUAUCAUGGUCAGAUCUAACUGCCAUUGUGGUAUUGCCUAUAUGUUGUAGAAUUCAUUUAAAACUAAAACUUACUCUCGGUACUUAAACCUCUCUAUUUAGGAAAAAAAUACUAAGGUAUUCUUGGGUUGCUGCUUGCAUAAAAAAUAUUUAUUGAAUCUUUUUGGACCACCAAAAAAUGAAAAAUCAUAUAUGAAUAUAUCCCAAAUUAAGAACUUCAUUUCGGCAUCGUUUAUUUUCUCGCAUUGUGAGGCCCGUUUCCAUUCAGGAAAAUUUUCCGCAGAAAGAAAAUUUUGUAAAAUGUGAUUGGCCGACAUAAAUUUUCCGUCGGAAAAAAAUUUUGAAGUUGAAAAUUUUCAACUUUUAACAAUGAUAUUUUCGGAAAAUUUUCUGCCCGUGGAAAUGUUUCUUGAGCGGAAAUGGGCCGUUACAGGAGGUUUAGAUAAAUUUUAUACGGUAGCACAUGAAAUAUGUCGUACUACAAAGGUAUUAGAGACCUUACGAUUUAGGACGGCAACGCCACCAAUACAAUAGAUCAUUGAAAAGAAUUGAAUAAUUACAAUAUAUGAAUAAUUUAGACAUUGUCCUCGCUCUGUUUACAACGCCAAAUCACAGAUUUUCACGUCUUCAUACAACGGCUGCAUUUCAAGCCACAACAAGUGCAACUUCAAACUGGGUUCAGCAGAACUCUUCCCAAACAUAAAACCCAUGUCUUCAACUUCCCUAAGACUGUAUUAAAUUCAUACGAUUGAUAAUAUACGACGAUUUAUCUUUACUACCAUUUAUUUGAAGGAGUUUGUCUUGGCCGUUGUCGUCGCGUUGCCGUCCUAAAAUCGGACUAAGGUCUCUAUUGAGUAAAUUAGAUGUAAACUCAUGCGAAGGGUCAGAUACACGUACGAUUUGUCGGGCCUGUAUUCAAUACAUUUGAUGAUACAGUUCAACACCUACAUAUAUUAUAUAUAGCCGAACAGCUUGUAUAUUAGUUUUGUAUUAGGCCUGUAUAUCAGUAUAACACAAGACUAGGAGUCGACCCGACAAAUCGUUAUGUGUAAUUGUAGCUUAAAUAAUGACAUUAACAUAAAUAUUCCAAAUGAAAUUGAAGUAUUUUAAGAUAUACUAUACGGACUGUUUAUCUGAUGUUUUCUUUAAUUUGAAAUUAUAAUAAUUUUCAAACCAAGGCGUUGUUAUUCAUGACUCAAUUAAUUAAUAGAAUUUGUCAUUGACGGAAAUACAACCAAAAUUUGGCAA